CCUCCACGACUACCGCAAGGAGGCAGCGCCGAGGUAGGGUCAGCGGAUUGGGUGAAGUCGGAAUCCGGGAGGACCAUCUCCAAAGGCUAAAUACUCCUUGACUAACGAUAGUGAACCAGUACGUAGAGGAAAGGUAGAAACGCGAACCCGGAGGGAGUAGAAAUAGAUCCUAGAAACCAUGCGUCUUAACAAGUAGUCAGACGUCCCGUUAAUGGGUGAUGGCGUGCCUUUGUAGAAUGAACCGGCAGUCGACGCGGCCG
rnacentral:misc_RNA from 1 species